rnacentral:rRNA from 1 species
GACGAACGCUGGCGGCGUGCUUAACACAUGCAAGUCGAACGGAAAGGCCCCCAUCUUGGUGGGGGUGCUCGAGUGGCGAACGGGUGAGUAACACGUGGGUGAUCUGCCCUGUACUUCGGGAUAAGCUUGGGAAACUGGGUCUAAUACCGGAUAGGACCAUGGUUUAGUGUCUCAUGGUGGAAAGAUUAUUGUUUUGGUGCAGGAUGAGCUCGCGGCCUAUCAGCUUGUUGGUGGGGUAAUGGCCUACCAAGGCGUCGACGGGUAGCCGGCCUGAGAGGGGGGACGGCCACAUUGGGACUGAGAUACGGCCCAGACUCCUACGGGAGGCAGCAGUGGGGAAUAUUGCACAAUGGGCGCAAGCCUGAUGCAGCGACGCCGCGUGGGGGAUGACGGCCUUCGGGUUGUAAACUCCUUUCGUUAGGGACGAAGCCGCACUUUUUUUGGGUGUGGUGACGGUACCUUUGUUAAGAAGCACCGGCUAACUACGUG